ACGGAAGGCAGCAGUGGGGAAUCUUGGGCAAUGGGGGAAACCCUGACCCAGCGACGCCGUGUGGGGGAUGAAGGCCUUCGGGUUGUAAACCCCUGUUAGGUGGGACGAACAUCUCCCUGCAAAUAGUGGGGGGAUCUGACGGUACCACCAGAGAAAGCCCCGGCUAACUCCGUGCCAGCAGCCGCGGUAAUACGGAGGGGGCUAGUGUUGUUCGGAAUUACUGGGCGUAAAGGGCGCGCAGGCGGCUUGGCAAGUCAAGUGUGAAAUCCCUCAGCUUAACUGAGGAAUUGCGCUUGAAACUACCUCGCUAGAGGGUGGGAGAGGGAAGUGGAACUCUCGGUGUAGGGGUGAAAUCUGUAGAUAUCGAGAGGAACACCGGUGGCGAAGGCGGCUUCCUGGCCCACAUCUGACGCUGAGGCGCGAAAGCGUGGGGAGCAAACAGGAUUAGAUACCCUGGUA
rnacentral:rRNA from 1 species